GACGAACGCUGGCGGCGUGCCUAACACAUGCAAGUCGUGCGAGAAAGCCCCUUCGGGGGUGAGUACAGCGGCGGACGGGUGAGUAACACGUGAGUGAUCUACCCGGCGGCGGGGGACAACCCAGGGAAACCUGGGCUAAUACCGCAUACAGCGGAGGGAGUAGGUGCCCUUCGUGAAAGCUGGCCUCUCCAUGGAAGCUAGCGUCGCCGGAGGAGCUCGCGGCCUAUCAGCUUGUUGGUGGGGUAACGGCCUACCAAGGCUAUGACGGGUAGCUGACGUGAGAGCGUGAGCAGCCACACUGGGACUGAGACACGGCCCAGACUCCUACGGGAGGCAGCAGUGGGGAAUAUUGCGCAAUGGGCGAAAGCCUGACGCAGCGACGCCGCGUGGGGGAGGAAGGCCUUAGGGUUGUAAAGCACUUUCAGUAGAGAAGAAAAGCACAAGGUUAAUAACCUUGAGUCUUGACGUAACCUACAGAAGAAGCACCGGCUAACUCCGUG
rnacentral:rRNA from 1 species